GUUUUAUGUUAUUUGAAAUUUGAUAAAAUAUUCACAUUUACUUGACUUUUAUGAUUUUUUUCGCAAGCACAUGUGCCGUGCACCUAGGUCCAGAUCUCUUGGAGCUUAGUGCCCCUUGAGAUUUUAAUAACUAUGCAAAGGAGUUAAAUGCACACAAAAGCUUUACCGCAAAAAAAUCCUCAAAGGUAAAGUCAGCAUAACCCAAACUCUGAAGCGUUUUCCUACAUUCUUCCACCUUUGUUUUGAUUCGAUCAACUUCUGCUCGGUCUUGUGUCUCCAAAAUAUGCUCAAGUUAUGAAAAUAUGAAGCUUCGAAAGAAGCAGUUGCCAUCUCCACGCGUUCGCCUAAUAGCAACAUAAAGCUCGGCGAGGAUCUUUAUCUUCUCAAGCAAAAUAGGGCUUCCUGAUUGGUAUUCAGCGGCUAAUGCAGAAAGAGGCUCCUUGUCACCGAGAAAAGGAAUUCUAUCAGAUUCAGGGGAGCGAACUGCAGAGUGUUGUUGCACAAUGUCAUCGUCCCCAAAAUUUGCCCAAUCUUCAAAUUCAGAAGCAUUUUGGCCAUCCUCUUGAUUCUGCAUCUCUCCUGAAGAUCAAAAAAGAUUCCAAUUGGUGAUCAGCGGCUCUCCACUUGACCUCCAAUCUCGA
rnacentral:misc_RNA from 1 species